GACGAACGCUGGCGGCGUGCCUAACACAUGCAAGUCGAACGGAGAAUUUCAAGAAGUUUACUUUGAGAAAUUUUUAGUGGCGGACGGGUGAGUAACGCGUGGGUAACCUACCCAUAAACCCGGGAUAACCCUUGGAAACGAGGGCUAAUACCGGAUAAUCUUUUAUGUUGGCAUCAACGUUUAAGAAAAGGUGGCCUCUGAACAUGCUACCGAUUAUGGAUGGACCCGCGUCUGAUUAGCUAGUUGGUGGGGUAAAGGCCUACCAAGGCGACGAUCAGUAGCCGGCCUGAGAGGGUGAACGGCCACACUGGGACUGAGACACGGCCCAGACUCCUACGGGUGGCUG
rnacentral:rRNA from 1 species